rnacentral:rRNA from 1 species
CACGUAGGGGUGCGAGCGUUUGUCCGGAAUUAUUGGGGCGUAAAGAGCUCGUAGGCGGUGUGUCGCGUCGGCCGUGAAAACCUGCAGCUUAACUGUGGGCUUGCGGUCGAUACGGGCAUCACUGGAGUUCGGCAGGGGGAGACUGGAAUUCCUGGUGUAGCGGUGAAUGCGCAGAUAUCAGGAGGAACACCGGUGGCGAAGGCGGAUCUCUGGGC